rnacentral:rRNA from 1 species
GACAGAGGUGCCAAGCGUUAGGCGGAAUCACUGGGCUUAAAGCGUGUGUAGGCGGGUCGUUAAGUACCUUGUGAAAUCCCCCGGCUCAACCGGGGAACGGCUGGGUAUACUGGCGAUCUUGAGCGACCUAGGGGCAGUCGGAACAAGUGGUGGAGCGGUGAAAUGCGUAGAUAUCGUUUGGAACGCCAAUGGUGAAAACAGACUGCUGGGGUUGUGCUGACGCUGAGACACGAAAGCCAGGGGAGCGAACGGG